GGUUUGUCGCGUCGUCUGUGAAAUUCCGGGGCUUAACUCCGGGCGUGCAGGCGAUACGGGCAUAACUUGAGUACUGUAGGGGUAACUGGAAUUCCUGGUGUAGCGGUGAAAUGCGCAGAUAUCAGGAGGAACACCGAUGGCGAAGGCAGGUUACUGGGCAGUUACUGACGCUGAGGAGCGAAAGCAUGGGUAGCGAACAGGAUUAGAUACCCUGGUAGUCCAUGCCGUAAACGGUGGGCGCUAGGUGUGAGGGUCUUUUCACGACUUUCGUGCCGUAGCUAACGCAUUAAGCGCCCCGCCUGGGGAGUACGGCCGCAAGGCUAAAACUCAAAGGAAUUGACGGGGGCCCGCACAAGCGGCGGAGCAUGUGGAUUAAUUCGAUGCAACGCGAAGAACCUUACCUGGGCUUGACAUACACCGGAUUGGGCUAGAGAUAGUCUUUCCCUUUGUGGCUGGUGUACAGGUGGUGCAUGGUUGUCGUCAGCUCGUGUCGUGAGAUGUUGGGUUAAGUCCCGCAACGAGCGCAACCCUUGUCUUAUGUUGCCAGCAUUUGGUUGGGGACUCAUGAGAGACUGCCGGGGUCAACUCGGAGGAAGGUGGGGAUGACGUCAAAUCAUCAUGCCCCUUAUGUCCAGGGCUUCACACAUGCUACAAUGGUCGGUACAACGCGCAGCGACACUGUGAGGUGGAGCGAAUCGCUGAAAGCCGGCCUUAGUUCGGAUUGGGGUCUGCAACUAGACCCCAUGAAGUCGGAGUCGCUAGUAAUCGCAGAUCAGCAAUGCUGCG
rnacentral:rRNA from 1 species